AAACCAACUGGGAUUACCUUAGUAACGGCGAGUGAAGCGGUAAAAGCUCAAAUUUGAAAUCUGGUACUUUUAGUGCCCGAGUUGUAAUUUGUAGAAUUUGUCUUUGAUUAGGUCCUUGUCUAUGUUCCUUGGAACAGGACGUCAUAGAGGGUGAGAAUCCCGUUUGGCGAGGAUACCUUUUCUCUGUAAGACUUUUUCGAAGAGUCGAGUUGUUUGGGAAUGCAGCUCAAAGUGGGUGGUAAAUUCCAUCUAAAGCUAAAUAUUGGCGAGAGACCGAUAGCGAACAAGUACAGUGAUGGAAAGAUGAAAAGAACUUUGAAAAGAGAGUGAAAAAGUACGUGAAAUUGUUGAAAGGGAAGGGCAUUUGAUCAGACAUGGUGUUUUUGCAUGCACUCGCCUCUCGUGGGCUUGGGCCUCUCAAAAAUUUCACUGGGCCAACAUCAAUUUUGGCAGCAGGAUAAAUCAUUAAGAAUGUAGCUACUUCGGUAGUGUUAUAGCUUUUUGGAAUACUGUUAGCCGGGUA
rnacentral:rRNA from 1 species